rnacentral:tRNA from 1 species
UCCCUCGUAGCUUAGCCGGUGAAGCAUCUGCCUGAAAUGCAGGAGACCCAGGUUCGAUUCUUGGGUCGGGAA